rnacentral:rRNA from 1 species
GACGAACGCUGGCGGCGUGCUUAACACAUGCAAGUCGAACGGUAAGGCCCUUCGGGGUACACGAGUGGCGAACGGGUGAGUAACACGUGGGUGAUCUGCCCUGCACUUCGGGAUAAGCCUGGGAAACUGGGUCUAAUACCGGAUAGGACCCUGGGAUGCAUGUCCUGGGGUGGAAAGCUUUUGCGGUGUGGGAUGGGCCCGCGGCCUAUCAGCUUGUUGGUGGGGUGAUGGCCUACCAAGGCGACGACGGGUAGCCGGCCUGAGAGGGUGACCGGCGACACUGGGACUGAGAUACGGCCCAGACUCCUACGUGAGGCAGCAGUGGGGAAUAUUGCACAAUGGGCGCAAGCCUGAUGCAGCGACGCCGCGUGAGGGAUGGCGGCCUUCGGGUUGUAAACCUCUUUCAGCACCGACGAAGCGCAAGUGACGGUAGGUGCAGAAGAAGGACCGGCCAACUACGUGCCAGCCGCCGCAGUAA